CCUACGGGUGGCAGCAGUGGGGGAUAUUGCACAAUGGGGGAAACCCUGAUGCAGCGACGCCGCGUGAGUGAAGAAGUAUUUCGGUAUUUAAAGCUCUUUCUGUAUGGAAGAAAAUUACAGUACCUGACCAAGAAGCCCCGGCUAACUACGUGCCAGCAGCCGCGGUAAUACGUAGGGGGCAAGCGUUAUCCGGAUUUACUGGGUGUAAAGGGAGCGUAGACGGUUAUGUAAGUCUGGAGUGAAAGGCCGGGGCCCCACCCUGGGACUGCUUUGGAAACUGUGUAACGGGAGUACAGGAGGGGCAGGCGGAAUUCCUGGUGUAGCGGUGAAAGGCGUAGAUAUCAGGAGGAACACCGGCGGCGAAGGCGGCCUGCUGGACUGAAACUGACGUUGAGGCUCGAAAGCGUGGGGAGCAAACAGGAGUAGAUACCCUUGUAGUC
rnacentral:rRNA from 1 species